AAAUCCUGGCUGACAUUGACUUCUCCACUGCAACCAUCGAGUUCAUUGUCUCCUAAACCUUGCCAUGGAGGCCUGUGGCACCUGAGCCAGCCAUUAUCAUCACCAGCACUUCCAUGAGCUACAAGCUGGACCCACUGCAGUCCUCCUGACACACUGAAAUCAGAGCCUGCACACAGAGCAGCAGAUGCUUCAAUGUAAAGGUCAUUUCCAGGUCCUUGACAGGCGUGCAUCUGGGCCAGAUCCAUGGCAAUAACCUUCAGGUUGAGGCUAGAGGGCUUCAGAUGGGCAGCUUCGAAUGACAGGAGCAAGGCACAAGAGGCCGGAAAGGGAGGGUGACAUUUUCAGCAUCUAUAAGAUCAACUUUAGAAACAUUUGGGGGUUGACAAAUUCCCAUCAAGCUCUGUGGAUCUUGUACAACUGCUCACCACCGGCUUCUCAUCAGCACAUGAUUGGUGCAGGGUUCUGAGGAUGAUUUUGAGAUGUUCCCUGAUGUGGUCUUGUGAGGAGAUUUCAUGACAGAUGGCAGGAAGCUUCGUGGAGAGAUUUCUGAAGACACUCCUGAGCUCCCAACACCGGGCAACUCUCUUCCAGAGGAUAGUGGGGUG
rnacentral:lncRNA from 1 species